rnacentral:rRNA from 1 species
AUUGAGCGCUGGCGGCAUGCCUUACACAUGCAAGUCGAACGGCAGCGCGGGGCAACCUGGCGGCGAGUGGCGAACGGGUGAGUAAUAUAUCGGAACGUACCCUGGAGUGGGGGCAUAACGUAGCGAAAGUUACGCUAAUACCGCAUACGAUCUAAGGAUGAAAGUGGGGGCAUCGCAAGACCUCAUGCUCCUGGAGCGGCCGAUAUCUGAUUAGCUAGUUGGUGGGGUAAAGGCCUACCAAGGCAUCGAUCAGUAGCUGGUCUGAGAGGACGACCAGCCACACUGGAACUGAGACACGGUCCAGACUCCUACGGGAGGCAGCAGUGGGGAAUUUUGGACAAUGGGCGAAAGCCUGAUCCAGCAAUGCCGCGUGAGUGAAGAAGGCCUCGGGUUGUAAAGCUCUUUUGUCAGGGAAAGAAAACGGUGGAGGCUAAUAUCCUCUGCUAUGACGGUACCUGAAGAAUAAGCACCGGCUAACUACGUGCCAGCAGCCGGGGUAAUACGUAGGGUGCAAGCGUUAAUCGGAAUUACUGGGCGUAAAGCGUGCGCAGGCGGUUUUGUAAGUCUGUCGUGAAAAUCCCCGGGCUCAACCUGGGAAUUGCGAUGGAGACUGCAAGGCUAGAAUCUGGCAGAGGGGGGUAGAAUUCCACGUGUAGCAGUGAAAUGCGUAGAGAUGUGGAGGAACGCCGAUGGCGAAGGCAGCCCCUGGGCAUCAAGAUCGACGCUCAUGCACGAAAGUGUGGGGG